CUGCCAUCCUUGCCUAUUGUGUGACAUGUGUGGAGCGCCCCCUGGAGGCGACGGCCGGCAAGCCUUGGGGGAAAGGCUUGGGGCCUUCCAAGGUGUAAGAGGGAAGUGCAUUUGCUCCUUGCCCCAGGCUGUCCUCCCGGUAGGUGGAGUCUGCUAGGGAGUGCCUUGCCUGGAAGGGCAAAGGGCUCUGUUAGCCCCAACCAACUGACAAGAGUCUCAGUCACCAGGCCUCGACUCUCUAAGAGCAUAGAAAGAACCCAGAAUCCCAAGCGGCAGGAGCACUGGGGGACACCCGGGCAGAGCCUUCCCUGGAGCGAGUACUGCAGGAGAGGGAUGAAGCCAUUGCUAAGAAGCGAGCGGUGGAAGAGGAACUGGAUUCCUGUCGCUCCAGGUUGCGCACCGUGGAGGCUCAGCUGCUGGAAGUCCUGCAGGAGAAACUGAGGCUGAAACAGGAGGUGGAGGCCUGGGAGGAAGACAUGCAACAUAUGGUUCGAGAGCGGGUGCGGAGUCAGCUGCAGGGGGAGUCCCGAGGCACUCUGGGAGCACAGGAGAAGACAGGCGCAGGCAGGAGUUCCUGGAUCCAACUCUCCAGUCAGUGGGGGCGACGGUGGUAAAAAUGGAUCCAGGACUUUAAGGGAACUGUCUUUAUUCAUUAAAGUGUCGGGCCACCUCUGUA